GAACGAAACGCUGGCGGCAUGGAUUAGGCAUGCAAGUCGAACGAAGUAGCAAUACUUAGUGCGGAAGGGUGAGGAACGCGUGAGUAACUUGCCUCCAAGUUGGGAAUAACGGUUGGAAACGGCUGCUAAUACCUGAUGUGGUUAUCUUUUCGCCAUGAGAGGGUAACUAAAGAUUUAUCGCUUGGAGAUAGGCUCGCGUCCCAUUAGCUAGUUGGUGAGGUAACGGCUCACCAAGGCGACGAUGGGUAGCUGGUCCUGAGAGGAUGGUCAGCCACACUGGGACUGAGACACUGCCCAGACUCCUACGGGAGGCUGCAGUCGAGAAUCUUGGGCAAUGCGCGAAAGCGUGACCCAGCAAUGCCGCGUGCAGGAUGAAUGUCUUCGGAUUAGUAAACUGCUGUCCACCGAGGGAACGAAAGCUGACUGUACCUGGGGAGGAAGCCACGGCAAACUACGUG
rnacentral:rRNA from 1 species